AUGGAGGGGUCCAUGGUGCCUGUCCCCUGCCCAGUUGGGCAUCAUACGGCUGGAGGUUCUGAGGGUCUGGUGUUGACACAGCAGAGGUGUUGUUGUCACUGGAACAGUCCUGAGCGAAGGUCACCCUACCUCGGUCUCUGGAGCGGGUUGGAGAGCGGCCGGAGCGCAGAGAGGAGCGAGGGGAGAGGGCAGAGAGGAGUGAGGGGGAGAGGGGUGAGAGGAGCGAGGGGGAGAAGGCAGAGAGGAGCGAGGGGGAGAAGGCAGAGAGGAGCGAGGGGGAGAAGGCAGAGAGGAGCGAGGGGGAGAGGGCAGAGAGGAGCGAGGGGGAGAGGGCAGAGAGGAGCGAGGGGGAGAGGGCAGAGAGGAGCGAGGGGGAGAGGGGAGAGAGGAGCGAGGGGGAGAGGGGAGAGAGGAGCGAGGGGGAGAAGGCAGAGAGGAGCGAGGGGGAGAGGGGAGAGAGGAGCGAGGGGGAGAAGGCAGAGAGGAGCGAGGGGGAGAAGGCAGAGAGGAGCGAGGGGGAGAAGGCAGAGAGGAGCGAGGGGGAGUAGCCAGAUAGGAGCGAGAGGGAGAAGGCAGAGAGGAGCGAGGGGGAGAAGGCAGAGAGGAGCGAGGGGGAGAAGGCAGAGAGGAGCGAGGGGGAGAAGGCAGAGAGGAGCGAGGGGGAGAAGGCAGAGAGGAGCUAGGGGGAGAAGGCAGAGAGGAGCUAGGGGGAGAGGGGAGAGAGGAACUAGGGGGAGAGGGGAGAGAGGAGCGAGGGGGAGAAGGCAGAGAGGAGCGAGGGGGAGAGGGCAGAGAGGAGCGAGGGGGAGAAGGCAGAGAGGGAGCGAGGGGGAGAAGGCAGAGAGGAGCGAGGGGGAGAAGGCAGAGAGGAGCGAGGGGGAGAAGGCACAGAGGAGCGAGGGGGAGAAGGCAGAGAGGAGCGAGGGGGAGAGGGGAGAGAGGAGCGAGGGGGAGAAGGCAGAGAGGAGCGAGGGGGAGAAGGCAGAGAGGAGCGAGAGGGAGAGGGCAGAGAGGAGCGAGGGGGAGAAGGCAGAGAGGAGCGAGGGGGAGAAGGCAGAGAGGAGCGAGGGGGAGAGGGGAGAGAGGAGCGAGGGGGAGAGGGGAGAGAGGAGCGAGGGGGAGUAG
rnacentral:lncRNA from 1 species